rnacentral:lncRNA from 1 species
UAAAUUAGUUAAUUAAUUUAAAAGUUAUUUGUAGUUUUUAAAAUGUUUAUUAAUUUUAUAAAAUGUUUAUUAACUUCUAUGUAUUAAUAAAUAAUUUGGACAAAUAUUCAGGUAAUCAGACAUUUGUGAAUAUUUGCUUGUUUUCUAAAAAACAUGAAGAAUUUUUUUACUAUUGUCACGCCCCGGAUUACACGUUCCUCGGGCAUACCGACAAAUCCGCCGUAUACAAAGAAUUUUUCCUGUUUACGAAGCGUAGCUGUAACUGUAAAACAUACAAUACUACAACCAGUAAUAUAGAGCUGCAAUGAAACUAAACAGAUAGAACAGAAAGUAAGUUCCGUAUACAUACAUAGUAUCAGGGUACAAAAGUACUCGCUCCAGCGAGUUAAGACAUCUGUAUGUACAUGAACUCAAAAAUAAUAAAAGUACCACUACCUGCAGCAAAGGAUCCUCUAUCUCG